GACGAACGCUGGCGGCGUGCCUAAUACAUGCAAGUCGAGCGGACUUUCAAGAAGCUUGCUUUUUGAAAGUUAGCGGCGGACGGGUGAGUAACACGUGGGCAACCUGCCUGUAAGACAGGGAUAACUCCGGGAAACCGGGGCUAAUACCGGAUAAUAUCUUUCUUCGCAUGAAGGAAGGUUGAAAGGCGGCGCAAGCUGCCGCUUGCAGAUGGGCCCGCGGCGCAUUAGCUAGUUGGUGAGGUAACGGCUCACCAAGGCGACGAUGCGUAGCCGACCUGGGAGGGUGAUCGGCCACACUGGGACUGAGACACGGCCCAGACUCCUACGGGAGGCAGCAGUAGGGAAUCUUCCGCAAUGGACGAAAGUCUGACGGAGCAACGCCGCGUGUGCGAAGAAGGUCUUCGGAUCGUAAAGCUCUGUUGUCAGGGAAGAACAAGUACCGUUCGAAUAGGGCGGUACCUUGACGGUACCUGACCAGAAAGCCACGGCUAACUACGUGCCAGCCGCCGCGGUAA
rnacentral:rRNA from 1 species